rnacentral:rRNA from 1 species
AGGACGAACGCUGGCGGCGUGCCUAAUACAUGCAAGUCGAACGGUCUUUCUAUGGAAGCUUGCUUCCACUGAGAAGAUAGUGGCGAACGGGUGAGUAACACGUGGGUAACCUGCCCAUAAGAGGGGGAUAACAUCCGGAAACGGGUGCUAAUACCGCAUAGUUUCUUGAUCGCAUGAUCGGGAAAGGAAAGACGGCCUUUGUGCUGUCGCUUAUGGAUGGACCCGCGGCGUAUUAGUUAGUUGGUGAGGUAAUGGCUCACCAAGACGAUGAUACGUAGCCGACCUGAGAGGGUGAUCGGCCACAUUGGGACUGAGACACGGCCCAAACUCCUACGGGAGGCAGCAGUAGGGAAUCUUCCGCAAUGGACGAAAGUCUGACGGAGCAACGCCGCGUGAGUGAAAGAAGGUUUUCGGAUCGUAAAACUCUGUUGUCAGAGAAGAACAAGUUGGAGAGUAACUGCUCCAGCCUUGACGGUAUCUGACCAGAAAGCCACGGCUAACUACGUGCCAGCCGCCGC